rnacentral:rRNA from 1 species
AUUGAACGCUGGCGGCAGGCCUAACAAAUGAAAGUCGAACGGUAACAGGAAGAAGCUUGCUUCUUUGCUGACGAGUGGCGGACGGGUGAGUAAUGUCUGGGAAACUGCCUGAUGGAGGGGGAUAACUACUGGAAACGGUAGCUAAUACCGCAUAACGUCGCAAGACCAAAGAGGGGGACCAUCGGGCCCCUUGCCAUCGGCUGUGCCCAGAUGGGAUUAGCUAGUAGGUGGGGUAACGGCUCACCUAGGCGACGAUCCCUAGCUGGUCUGAGAGGAUGACCAGCCACACUGGAACUGAGUCACGGUCCAGACUCCUACGGGAGGCAGCAGUGGGGAAUAUUGCACAAUGGGCGCAAGCCUGAUGCAGCCAUGCCGCGUGUAUGAAGAAGGCCUUCGGGUUGUAAAGUACUUUCAGCGGGGAGGAAGGGAGUAAAGUUAAUACCUUCGCUCAUUGACGUUACCCGCAGAAGAAGCACCGGCUAACUCCGUG